UUAUCCUACGGGGCGCAGCAGUGAGGAAUAUUGGUCAAUGGGCGAGAGCCUGAGCCAGCCAAGUCGCGUGAAGGAUGACGGCCCUAUGGGUUGUAAACUUCUUUUGUCAGGGGGCAAUUGGGUCCACGCGUGGGCUUAGCGAGAGUACCUGAAGAAAAAGCAUCGGCUAACUCCGUGCCAGCAGCCGCGGUAAUACGGAGGAUGCGAGCGUUAUCCGGAUUUAUUGGGUUUAAAGGGUGCGUAGGCGGAAUAUCAAGUCAGCGGUAAAAAUUCGGGGCUCAACCCCGUCGUGCCUUUGAAACUGA
rnacentral:rRNA from 1 species